GACCGACCCAAUGUGCUCCGAAGAUUGCGAAGGACGAUGCGCUUCCAGACCGAUUAAGUCUAAAGGUCCGUCAUGACGAUUUGCGAUAUUUGAGUCCUCUUUCCAGAACGUUUCAGAUCAUUCAAUUUGGAGCCAUGAUCAAGAAGAUAACGUUUCCGGAAUGGACACAUGUCUAGAAGCCUCUUUCCGACCGUGUGAA
rnacentral:lncRNA from 1 species